UACAGAGGUCUCAAGCGUUGUUCGGAUUCAUUGGGCGUAAAGGGUGCGUAGGCGGCGAGGUAAGUCGGAUGUGAAAUCCCUCGGCUCAACUGAGGAACUGCACGGGAAACUGCCUGGCUUGAGUUCGGGAGAGGGAAGCGGAAUUCCGGGUGUAGCGGUGAAAUGCGUAGAUAUCCGGAGGAACACCGGUGGCGAAGGCGGCUUCCUGGACCGACACUGACGCUGAGGCGCGAAAGCUAGGGGAGCAAACGGG
rnacentral:rRNA from 1 species